rnacentral:lncRNA from 1 species
CGGUCCAAUUAAUGGUAAUAACACUUUAUCUUAAGUUAUCCAGCAUUAGAGUUAAUCUUCUUGUUAGUUGACCAUUUGGUCCACCUCUAUGGCUGUAUAUUAAUAGUAAUGGUUUGGGAAGGGAUCCGACUAAUGGUUGAUCGUCCAGUCUGUGCUUGACCGAAUGGUCAUACGAUACAUAGGCCCCCCACUCACGAGUUUGUUAUCACAGGCAAAGGGGUUUGUAAUAGGAUGAGGCUUUUGUCAUUCAAUCUUUUUUGAAGUAACAUCGGC